AUACGGAGGGUGCAAGCGUUAUCCGGAAUCAUUGGGUUUAAAGGGUCCGUAGGCGGAUAAUUAAGUCAGGGGUGAAAUCCCACAGCUCAACUGUGGCACUGCCUUUGAUACUGGUUAUCUUGAGUUAUAGGGAAGUAGAUAGAAUAUGUAGUGUAGCGGUGAAAUGCAUAGAUAUUACAUAGAAUACCGAUUGCGAAGGCAGUCUACUAUCUGUAUACUGACGCUAAGGGACGAAAGCGUGGGGAGCGAACAGGAUUAGAAACCCCAGUAGUCC
rnacentral:rRNA from 1 species